rnacentral:rRNA from 1 species
UACGUAGGGUGCAAGCGUGUCCGGAAUUAUUGGGCGUAAAGAGCUCGUAGGCGGUCUGUCGCGUCUGCUGUGAAAACCUGGGGCUUAACCCCGGGUCUGCAGUGGGUACGGGCAGACUAGAGUGCGGUAGGGGAGACUGGAAUUCCUGGUGUAGCGGUGAAAUGCGCAGAUAUCAGGAGGAACACCGGUGGCGAAGGCGGGUCUCUGGGCCGUAACUGACGCUGAGGAGCGAAAGCAUGGGGAGCGAACAGG